rnacentral:tRNA from 2 species
GGUGGGGUGGCAGAGCCUGGUUGAAUGCACCGGUCUCGAAAACCGGAGGGCCCGCUAUGGGUCCCGGGGGUUCGAAUCCCUCCCCCACCG